rnacentral:rRNA from 1 species
UGGGGAAUUUUGGACAAUGGGCGAAAGCCUGAUCCAGCAAUGCCGCGUGUGUGAAGAAGGCCUUCGGGUUGUAAAGCACUUUUGUCCGGAAAGAAAUCCUCUGGGUUAAUACCUCGGGGGGAUGACGGUACCGGAAGAAUAAGCACCGGCUAACUACGUGCCAGCAGCCGCGGUAAUACGUAGGGUGCAAGCGUUAAUCGGAAUUACUGGGCGUAAAGCGUGCGCAGGCGGUUUUGUAAGACGGAUGUGAAAUCCCCGGGCUUAACCUGGGAACUGCAUUCGUGACUGCAAGGCUAGAGUAUGGCAGAGGGGGGUAGAAUUCCACGUGUAGCAGUGAAAUGCGUAGAGAUGUGGAGGAAUACCGAUGGCGAAGGCAGCCCCCUGGGCCAAUACUGACGCUCAUGCACGAAAGCGUGGGGAGCAAACAGGAUUAGAUACCCUGGUAGUCCACGCCCUAAACGAUGUCAACUAGUUGUUGGGGAUUCAUUUCCUUAGUAACGUAGCUAACGCGUGAAGUUGACCGCCUGGGGAGUACGGUCGCAAGAUUAAAAUUCAAAGGAAUUGACGGGGUCAUAGCUGUUUCCU